UUUGUCUACUAUGGAAAAAACACUUAAUAUAAUGGUGUAAGUGCAAUUGUUGGGCAAGAUACAAAAAAUAAAGUCCUUUAGCAAGAGCAAAGGGAUCAAAUAAAUUGGUUCCUUGAACUAUUCUUUAAGUUUGGUCCUGUUAUGAGUUUCUAUGUGAAAUUCUAUGAUUUUACAGUGUCUAAGAAUUGUCAAAUUUUCAAACAAGGUCAGCUUAGAGAGACAGGCUAG
rnacentral:misc_RNA from 1 species